UUAAAUUGGCAGGAGCCAUAAAAGUUUUGCAAACACUCAAGUAAGUCAAACCACAGAUAACUGUAUCUUGGAAAAUUAUGAUGGGAAAUUGCUAAACCCUGAGGGGACUGAGAGGUAGUUCUGCAGGUUCAUGACCUCACAGGGAAACUCUUUAAAUUCCAGUUGGAAGUUAAGCAGGAAAGUUUUCUUCUUUCUUUAUUUUAGGGACCAUGUUGAAGACAGCCCUUGAGAAGCAGCAGGAAAAAGGCUCGACUUCAUCUGCCAGAGCUGCCCUUCCACUUUUUCUUAGGCAUCAAAGUAAGACUUAGAAACAUCCUUCACUUUCUGGCCAGGGAUUGAAUAGAUUUCUCUCCACAGAGAACAGGAAACUGCCAUUAUGAGAAUUUUCAAGGAGCUGACACAUGAUGAGAUUUAGAAUUCACAUUUUUGCAUAUUCAAAGAGGAUUUUAAAUGAGGAUAUAGUACUUAAAAUUAAGGACAUUGUGAAGAAGGCAACCAAGUCUAAGGCAAGGUUUCAUAUAAUUUAACUUUUAAAUACAUUAAAGUUGAAGAUGUGCAAAGUAUAUUUUAUUGGAAAUCAUCUGUUUGCUCAUAAGAGGUUCGCCGUUUCCAAGUCCCAGAGACAUAUCUCCAACAAGUGGCGCCACAAACAGGGACUUGAAGGAAGACUGAACAAAGCUGAGAGCCCUGCAGAAAGAGACAGAAAAUAA
rnacentral:lncRNA from 1 species